rnacentral:misc_RNA from 1 species
UUUGCGUUAGGGAUUAUAGUGUAGCUCUUUUUGUGUAAGGCUUUUUCUGCCUGAUACAAAAAAGCGGGAACGGAAAGCCCGACCCACU